AGAAUCAACGCUGGCGGCGUGCCUCAGACAUGCAAGUCGAACGCGAAAGUCCCCUUCGGGGGGCAAGUAGAGUGGCGCACGGGUGAGUAACACGUAGGUAAUCUACCUUUGGAUGGGGAAUAACAAUCGGAAACGGUUGCUAAUACCGCAUAAUGCAGCGGCACCUAAUGGUGACAGUUGUUAAAGCGGGGGAUCGAAAGACCUCGCGUCUGAAGAGGAGCCUGCGGCGGAUUAGCUAGUUGGUAAGGUAAUGGCUUACCAAGGCAACGGGAUCCGUAACGGCCUGAGAGGGCGGUCGGUCACGACUGACACUGACAUACGGGUCAGACUCCUACGGGAGGCAGCAGUCGGGAAUUUGGGCAAU
rnacentral:rRNA from 1 species